rnacentral:rRNA from 1 species
UACGGGGGGGAGCAAGCGUUGUUCGGAUUUACUGGGCGUAAAGGGCGCGUAGGCGGCCCACCGCAAGUCAAUUGUGGAAAUCUCCGGGCUUAACUCGGAAAGGUCAACUGAUACUGCGGGGCUAGAGUGCGGAAGGGGCAACUGGAAUUCUCGGUGUAGCGGUGAAAUGCGUAGAUAUCGAGAGGAACACCUGCGGCGAAGGCGGGUUGCUGGGCCGACACUGACGCUGAUGCGCGAAAGCCAGGGGAGCGAACGGG